CUGGUGUCAGCCGCCGCGUUAAUACCAGCACCUCGAGUGGUCAGGACGUUUAUUGGGCCUAAAGCAUCCGUAGCCGGCUCUGCAAGUCUUCGGUUAAAUCCACCUGCUCAACAGAUGGGCUGCUGGAGAUACUACAGAGCUAGGGAGUGGGAGAGGCAGACGGUAUUCAGUGGGUAGGGGUAAAAUCCUCUGAUCCAUUGAGGACCACCAGUGGCGAAGGCGGUCUGCCAGAACACGUUCGACGGUGAGGGAUGAAAGCUGGGGGAGCAAACCGGAUUAGAUACCCGGGUAGUCCCAGCUGUAAACGAUGCAAACUCGGUGAUGCAUUGGCUUAUGGCCAAUGCAGUGCCGCAGGGAAGCCGUUAAGUUUGCCGCCUGGGAAGUACGGACGCAAGUCUGAAACUUAAAGGAAUUGGCGGGGGAGCACCACAAGGGGUGAAGCCUGCGGUUCAAUUGGAGUCAACGCCAGGAAUCUUACCCGGGGAGACAGCAGAAUGAAGGUCAAGCUGAAGACUUUACCAGACAAGCU
rnacentral:rRNA from 2 species